UACGUAGGGGGCAAGCGUUGUCCGGAAUCACUGGGCUUAAAGCGUGUGUAGGCGGACCGUUAAGUACCUUGUGAAAUCCCACGGCUCAACCGUGGAACGGCUGGGUAUACUGGCGGUCUUGGGCCACCUAGGGGCGAGCGGAACAAGCGGUGGAGCGGUGAAAUGCGUAGAUAUCGCUUGGAACGCCGACGGUGAAAACAGCUCGCUGGGGGUGUGCCGACGCUGAGACACGAAAGCCAGGGGAGCGAACGGG
rnacentral:rRNA from 1 species